UUAAAUUGAAGAGUUUGAUCAUGGCUCAGAUUGAACGCUGGCGGCAGGCCUAACACAUGCAAGUCGAACGGUAACAGGAAGAAGCUUGCUUCUUUGCUGACGAGUGGCGGACGGGUGAGUAAUGUCUGGGAAACUGCCUGAUGGAGGGGGAUAACUACUGGAAACGGUAGCUAAUACCGCAUAACGUCGCAAGACCAAAGAGGGGGACCUUCGGGUCUCUUG
rnacentral:rRNA from 1 species